CAGCAGCCGCGGUAAGACAGAGGAUGCAAGCGUUAUCCGGAAUGAUUGGGCGUAAAGCGUCUGUAGGUGGCUUUUCAAGUCCGUCGUCAAAUCCCAGGGCUCAACCCUGGACAGGCGGUGGAAACUACCAAGGUGGAGAACGGUAGGGGCAGAGGGAAUUUCCGGUGGAGCGGUAAAAUGCGUUGAGAUCGGAAAGAACACCAACGGCGAAAGCACUUUGCUGGGCCGACACUGACACUGAGAGACGAAAGCUAGGGGAGCAAAUGGGAUUAGAUACCCCCGUAGUCCCUGUCUCUUAUAA
rnacentral:rRNA from 1 species